rnacentral:tRNA from 1 species
GUCGGGCUGGCGGAAUUGGUAGACGCGCUAGGUUGAGGGCCUAGUGAGCACUUAGCUCAUGGGGGUUCAAGUCCCCCGCCCGACACGA